GGAGGGAUGGCCGAGUGGUUUAAGGCGGCGGUCUUGAAAACCGCUGUACCGUCAGGUACCGUGGGUUCGAAUCCUACUCCCUCCGCCA
rnacentral:tRNA from 1 species